CAACUACUCCCUCUAUACCAAAUUUCCUGUCUUAGAUUUGUCUAGAUACGGAUGUAUCUAAUACUAAAAUGUGACUUGAUACAUCUGUAUCUAGACAAAUCUAAGACAAGAAUUUUUGGGACGGAGGGAGUACUUU
rfam:Triticum aestivum genome assembly, contig: Triticum_aestivum_CS42_TGACv1_scaffold_180132_2DS